UACGUAGGGUCCAAGCGUUGUCCGGAUUUAUUGGGCGUAAAGAGCUCGUAGGCGGCUCAGUAAGUCGGAUGUGAAAACUCGGGGCUCAACCCCGAGACGCCAUCCGAUACUGCUGUGGCUUGAGUCUGGUAGGGGAACACGGAAUUCCUGGUGUAGCGGUGAAAUGCGCAGAUAUCAGGAGGAACACCGAUGGCGAAAGCGCGAGACUGGGCCAUAACUGACGCUGAGGAACGAAAGCCAGGGGAGCAAAAGGG
rnacentral:rRNA from 1 species